UUGCUACAGCGGCCAGAGUUUUGGAAGCCCAAGUCCCUGGGGUGUUACAGCAAAGCAGCAGUUUCAGAGGCCCUUGCUUUUCAGAGCCAAGCGCACCAGCAUUAAUAAACCUUUCUGAAUGCAUCUGCGUGGGCGAUUUCCUCCCCCACUUCCCCUGUUACAUCAGGGUUACAACCAACCUUUUCUAGAGUGCCUCAAAGCCUUCAAUGUGGGAAGCCCUGUUAAGGCACAACUGUUAGUCUGACCAGCAUACAACACAGACUGCGGAUCUCAUGCUGGGACUUCCCCAAGGAGAGAGGCACCUUUUACCAUCUGCAGAAUUAAAGGAUGCCACAGGCGUGGAGACAAAGCCACCUGACCUGCUGGGAAAGUGUGAUGGGAGAGCUCCAGCCUCGGCAGAGGUCACUGUGCAGGUGGUGUUCUCAUGUCCCAGCCCUGGUAGGAGACAGCAAAGCCGGUCAAACAUUUACACGGGGACUCCGAUGAGAGCUCCUAUUCUCUUUCAUGCCACCUAAUACACUCGACUGCUCUUCUCCCUUUCCACUGGAGCCCAGAAACAAUGCCACCAAGUGCACGACCCCUGGUUUAAUCAUCUCUUAGUAGGGGGCAGAGGAAGAGGACACAGACUCUUACUCUCCAGAGGAAAAAAAGCUGAUCCUGGAGGAAUCACUGUGAGAUGCAAUGAAGCAAAGCAGGCCUGAGCGCUUGCAUUACAGACCCACCAGCUCCAACAAGCUGAGCAGAGCAAAGCCAAGUCAGGGUAUCUGCAGUGAGUGGUGCUGGCUACACCACAGGUUCUCCUUUCUCGCCAGAGGAGCACUGGAUCACUGCCACAGCUUUUGGAUGG